rnacentral:rRNA from 1 species
AGCGGCGGAUGGAUGAGUAACACGUGGGGAACCUGCCCCUAAGUCUGGGAUACCAUUUGGAAACAGGUGCUAAUACCGGAUAAUAAAGCAGAUCGCAUGAUCAGCUUUUGAAAGGCGGCGUAAGCUGUCGCUAAGGGAUGGCCCCGCGGUGCAUUAGCUAGUUGGUAAGGUAACGGCUUACCAAGGCGACGAUGCAUAGCCGAGUUGAGAGACUGAUCGGCCACAUUGGGACUGAGACACGGCCCAAACUCCUACGGGAGGCAGCAGUAGGGAAUCUUCCACAAUGGACGCAAGUCUGAUGGAGCAACGCCGCGUGAGUGAAGAAGGUUUUCGGAUCGUAAAGCUCUGUUGUUGGUGAAGAAGGAUAGAGGUAGUAACUGGCCUUUAUUUGACGGUAAUCAACCAGAAAGUCACGGCUAACUACGUGCCAGCAGCCGCGGUAAUACGUAGGUGGCAAGCGUUGUCCGGAUUUAUUGGGCGUAAAGCGAGCGCAGGCGGAAAAAUAAGUCUAAUGUGAAAGCCCUCGGCUUAACCGAGGAACUGCAUCGGAAACUGUUUUUCUUGAGUGCAGAAGAGGAGAGUGGAACUCCAUGUGUAGCGGUGGAAUGCGUAGAUAUAUGGAAGAACACCAGUGGCGAAGGCGGCUCUCUGGUCUGCAACUGACGCUGAGGCUCGAAAGCAUGGGUAGCGAACAGGAUUAGAUACCCUGGUAGUCCAUGCCGUAAACGAUGAGUGCUAAGUGU